GGACCAUAAGGACUGAAUAUUUGGCACAAUCUGACUACAGCAGAGACCAAAGCUGCACGGCUCCAUCACAGCCACCCCUGGCCCAGAGAGGGAAAAUGAUGGAAAACCCCUUCUUCUUCUCCAGCAAUGCCAAGAUGUGAAGGCAUGUCUGCAGACAGCCCUGUAGCGUUGAAUUUCAGCGUGACUCAGUGGUAGGUUGCCUUCAGAUCCUACGAAUGCUAGCUUUCUACAAUGAGAUUGUUCCAACCACAGUGUUCUUCAAGACAGUUUACUUAGAAGGCACAUCACUGGACCAGUGCUGCAACUCAGAACUAGGAUAAAAAUGGAAAACGCUGAGGUGCCUUAGAGCUUGCAUGUCUGAGACUUCAGCUCAGCAUUGGAAAGCAUCAAGGAUACAUUCAGGAAUGGGCAGACAACACAUGGUAAGUAGCAUCAGGGAUAUCUGGACUUUAUUUCUUUAAUGCCAGUGCCUCUGUGCUUCUUGCUGGCAUAAUUUACAGUACCUUAAAUGAAUUAGUACCAGAGCUUCCCUGGUCUUGAAAGAAAAGUAUGCAUCAUCUUUGACACGGCAGCUAAUCACAUCCAAGAGAAUUCAAAGGCAUGUAGUAAUAAAUUCUGUUAUUUAAGCUUAAGAUAAGGAUUGGUGGUGAAAAACUGGGUUGAGAGCCAAACAGAAGCUGCAGCUUGCAAAACAUAUCCUGGCGUUGGGGUUGAAUUCUGAAAUUCACCAGGUCAACGCAUGCAGAAGUUGCUUUUAACUCAAGUGACCAGUAGUUUCUUCCUAAUUACCUGUUGCACUCCCAAAGUUCAUUAAGCAAACCAGGAACCUUGAUCUCUAGGUCUCUUACCUUCAAGCCUUAGAUCUGUUCAUGUAGACCUCAUUCAGGUUAAAGGCAAAAUGACCAGAAUUUCUAAUGGUUAGCCCCCAAAUGUUCUCAUACUGGAUGAGAAGUCAAUUACUGGGUAACAGAAACCAGCUUUUCAGGUAUCCCAUCAACAACUGAAAUAGAACAAAAUAAGAGAGCAUCUUUAGCCAGCAGAAAUUAAGGACACUAUUUUUUAUAGUGUCAGCAGAAUGAAGAAACUAAUUUUUAGUCCAUUUAGCUUUCUCCAGCCCUGUCUAGUAAAAGAGAACCCUUAAGGAAAUAUCAAGUGCUCAUGUCCUCCCCUGUUCUACAUGGAACUUUCUGUUAUUUUGCUUGCACUGUUCCAGUCUACAGCAUAAAGUCUUACAACCAGUUAUCUCUGUCAGUAGACAAAGGCUUGCUGUCAUUGCCAGUUAUUGUGAAAGGCAUCUCUAAAUAUAGGUAUAACAACUGUACAGCAGCCUUACCUGACACUAACUGCUUUGAAUCUCACUCUCUCCCCUAUGUCUGUAUAACCACCACUGAUUCCACUGGCUUGGUUGAAUCAUUACUAAAUUAACUGAGUGUAAAAGGAGAAUCAGACCCACCCACUGAACAGAAAGCACUGUACUUUAUUCUGUUUGAAACGAGAGAUUUGGUGCUUCAGCUGUCAGCAGUGAGACAGUAGAUAUCACCUGCGGAGCUCUUCCAGA